GAGUUGACAGAUAUUUUUCAGUUUCUGUUCAUUAGAUACUUGUGUUUACUGAAUCAAGAUUGUUGCUGAAUCUUUUCCUGUUUAAUCCGUUAUUAUUGUUGGCUAUCUGUUUUUUUUUGUUGUUUGUAUCUAUACCGUUGAACUUUUUGUUACAUUACUUCUCGUCAAUUUUGUCUUAUAGUUUUCGUUUUUGUUUUCGUUUCAUUGAAAAAAUUUUUAUCUUCGUUUGCUUUUUCCAUUACUUUUUUUCGCUUUUUUUCUUUUAUUUAAACUCUGGUUUCUGGGUGAUAUUUAAAAAUUAGUUUUUCUCAAGUUAUCUUCUUAAGUUGAUCAUGAUGAAGCAAGGAUCUCUUUUAAAAUGGACUUCUUCCAACGGUAAUAAAUGGUCCAAAAAUCACGGUAAACCAAACUGGAUUCAUCCACCCGACGCAUUGCAACGCGGUCAUGUUGCCUAUCUUGUCAAAUUUUUAGGUAAAACAGAAGUAGAUCAACCAAAAGGCAUUGACGUUGUUAAAGAAGGAAUCCGUAAGAUGAAAUUUAGUCAACAUCUACGGCGAGCUGAAGGAACUAAAACACCCAAGGUUGAGUUGACCAUUUCUGUGGAUGGAGUUGCCAUUCAGGAUCCCAAGAGUAAAAAAAUAUCCUUCCAAUAUCCUCUUCAUCGAAUCUCUUACUGUGCUGAUGAUAAAUCGGAUCCAAAGUUUUUCAGUUUCAUUGCUAAAGAAGCUGAAUCUGAUCGUCACAGUUGUUUUGUUUUUGUAUCUGACAAAUUAUCAGAGGAGAUAACGUUAACUAUUGGCCAAGCCUUUGAAUUGGCCUAUCGUAGGUUCCUUGAAACAUCUGGACGUGAUUUAGAGAUGCGUAAACAAAUAAUGGUGCUUCAUAAAAAAGUCCAGGAACUGGAAGCUGAAAACAGAACGUUAAAAAAUCGUUUAGCUAAUUAUGAAAAUAAGUCGAGAUCAUCAAUGAAAUCAUCUGGUUCUGGUCGUUCAUCCGUUUUAACAAAUGGCUCUGAGAUAAAUAAACUACAGCCACUUCAACCACCACCGCCUGUUCAAAGAAUAGCAAAUCGAAGUCAUCAUCAACAGGCAACCAUCAAUUUGUUAGAUAUUGAUGAUCAACCAACCGUUGGUCGUAAGCUAGAAAAUUUAAGCCUUGAUGAUCAAACAUUUGAUCCAAGGUCUUAUGAGGAAAUUAAAGUGAAUAGUACGACGACGUCAACAACAACAAAACCCUUAAUAGGCUCAUCUUUAACAUCAUCUUCAAUCAACUCAUCGAAUUCAUCUGUAUCUUCUUUAUCCUCAUCUUCCCCGCCAUCAUCAAUUAGCACAACAUCAAAUCAACCACUAUCAGUGUCAUCAUUAUCUGCAACAACAUCAGUACCACCGACAACAACAACAAAUUCAAAAAUGACAACGAUAAACAGUAACGGUCCAGUAAACAGUUACCCAGUUAACGGUCAUGUCAAUAACCUGGGUCAUACCAAUGGAACUGGUAUUGGUCAUAAUCAAGAUAAUACAACUAAUGAAGCUAAAGAUAUAUUUGGAUUUGAACCUUUUGAUCCGGAAGCCAAUAAAACCAAUGGUUCUGAUCCAUUUGGAAUGGGCUCUUUUGAGGCCAAACAAUUAGAACAAGCAAUUGGCGAUAUUGACAAGAAACUUGCUGAAAUGAGAGAUGGAUUCAGUCGCGGUCUAUCUUUUGGUUAUGUUGACUUCUCAAUGGAAACCUCGGAUCCACUAAAUUGAUCAACUGUUCCUUCAUGGGAUACUCAAGCGAUGAAUGAUCCAUUUUAGCGAUGAAUUUUCAUUGCUUUGAACCACAGGAUGAAGCCAAAAAUGCAUAUAAGUUGAAAGUUAAAGCCAAUCAUUGAUUCCCGUUGUUGAUGAUUUUAAUUAUGACAAAUGGCCCAACCAAAUGACAACUAUACAAAGAAACAGAUUUUAAAUAUUCAGUUACAAAUGACAAAAUUAUAAAUAUUAUACAUAAAUUUAUUGAAAUUAUUGCCGAUGAUUUUAUACCAGCAAAUGCAAAUUGAAUACAGUUUGGUACUCAAUAUUCAAUGGAUACAAACCCUCAUCACUUUGAUCAUCAUCGUCUUCAUUAUGUUCAUUGACCUGGACUAGGAAUUGAUUGCGACUGGCAAAUGAGCAAUUUAAAAGUGGAUUGUUAACUUUGUUUAUGAUAUUGGGAUUCAAUUUGAAAGUUGGAUCGGUUAAACAGCUAUUUAUAUUGUUCCUCACAUGUUAACUCAAGGUUCUCGUUUCCAUUUAAUCGGCUAAAUUGGUUACAAUUAAAUUAUUCCAUGAGACAUUCUGUAAACAUUAGGAAGAAACUCAAAUUCAAACCUUAAAGAGUGAAAGCUGUUUCACAGUUGUAUUUACACAGAACCGGAAAGCAAAUACUUUGAAUUUUUAUCCAGUGAGACUUGAAUCAAUGUCUUUUUUGCUUGUCAACUUGGUUAACAGACAAAGUUUACUGUGAUAAUAAGCUUGACUGGCGAGACUAAUGAAAACAAUAAUGAAAUGAUCGUCAAAAAACCAUUAUAUUCUUGUACUAUUAGUACUGGUGAAAUUUAAAUUACAUCAGCUUUGGUGACUUUUUUCCUGUUCAUUGUAGAUACCAAAUUCAAUUGCUUCCUCUUUUGUUAUUAUUCCUGUCGUUUUUCACCUUCUCUAGACAAUUGGAUCAUCAAUAGUCUCUCCUAAUUAAUCAGUCUGUUUAAUUUAAAACAAAACAGUCAAAUGUGCAGACAAAUGCCUCAAAAGCGUAUUGUAAAGCUGAAAUUUAAUUAUUUUGAAAAUAGUCUAAAAAGCGAAACAAAAGACUGCUUGAAAUCGAGAUUAUCAGCUUGAAAAUUGGCUCGUAAAAGUCAAUACAAUUGUGACCUUUUAAACCUUUGAUCAAGCUUAGAUUUACGUUAUUAGUUACUGUCAGUAGAUUUCAUUUCAAUUAUUUUCUAUGUUUUUUGCGUCACUAAUUCAAUGUUUUAUAUCUUUAACCAUCAAAAUGAUUGUCUAAUAAGCUCAAUGGACAUAAUUAAAUGUAUUAUUGAUGAAUUGGUUAAA